UAAUGCUCCACACUAACGACUAUCUCUUAUCUUUUGUAAAUAUGUAAUUGUAGUGGGCCUAUGCUAGGUACAGUGUGUUUCAUAGCUGAGAUAGUGCAGCGAAUCACAUUUCACCUUAGCUGAACUUGUCAAAUCUAUUUGAGCUAUAGCAGAGGGGAACACAGUGAGUCUGUCUGCUCUACUGAUAGUCCGGCCCCGCCGCGGAUGUGGCGAGCGAGGAAAUGCUGGUAGCCUAGUCUUUAUGAAUAUUUCUAAAAGAGCCGGCGAACGUAACACAGCUCUUUUUGCUAUGGAUGCUUCUUUGCCGAAGUUGACAUAGGCCUACUUUGCUACACUGUUACAAUGUAUCGCCUCAAGAGCGCGGAUCACUACGUAGCCUCGUCGUCUUUUCUCACACUCGCGUCAUUGUUGCCGCGGUGCAGCGAGGACACGACAGUUACAGAGACAGACAAACACAGCGGUGACUGCUCGGGACUUGAACUUGAACUUCAUUUUGAAAUUGGCGUCGAGGUUAGUCUUCUUUUUCCCACAAGCAAUACUCAUUUUCCGUGAUUCAAUGACAAACUACGAGGAGAAAUGAGGAAAACACAGAUGUUUUGAAGACAAUAAACUAAACUGCUGGCUGCUCCACCUCCGACACUGAAGAAGUGGACAUUUCAGAUCAACAGAAAGUAAAAGAAUUGAAGAAUGCAUAUUAUAGAUGUUGUUAUAACAGGAUAACUACAUUAUGGUUCUGGAUCUACUACCCUGGUGGAAAAUAAGGCCUGUCUGGAUUUCAACAUCCUGGAUUUCUGCUGACUGUCUACUGUCUCUGACUGUGCUGCUGACUGUCUACCCAUGUCCGAUUUGAGGCUGAUUGGAUCUGGGGGUGAUGUAUAGAGACAGAACAGACCCUGGAUUAAAGGUGAAAUUAGGUUUAAUUUAAAUAUUCUUGGUUCUUAAGCUUAUUAAGGUACUGUUUAUAUUGGUUUGGUAUUCGGUUUGCUUUUCAUUGUGUGAUUUUCAUUGUACACUAAGUAAAAUCAAUGGCACUAUGUAGCUGUUGGGUUUAACCUGAAAUGAAAAGCGUCUCGCCUCAUUUUUCAGUAGCCUGCAGUUACACAAAGUUAGUCAAAUGUUUAUGAUGCAGUUGUUUGCUUUGAAUGCACCCUCGCACUCACAGUAUAAGAGAAAAAAUCUCAUCUAGUAGACUGUGGUUACAGUAAUGUUAGUGAUAUGUACAGUACAGUAAAAGCUGCUCAUACUCUGAAGCCGCCAAAGAAAUCAGUGAAAGAGGGAAAGUAAAUCCAAUACCUCAAAGGUCAGAUGAAGAUGAAGAGACAGUGGACUGCGGUUGGCUCCCUGAGAAGUGCAACCCACAGUGGGUUGGCACCCUGAACUACACAAAGUCCCUAUUGUCAGUGGGUGCACUGCAAACAGCACUCAAUAGACCUAUAAGGCCUACGGCUCCAGUCCUGGGGUAAAAGCACCACCUGUUGGCCAUUUGGUAAUAUACUGCAGAUUGACUAGGCAAGUUCUAGAAUCAUGCUUGUGUGAUGAGUAACCUUGCCUGAAACCUGUAGACUUAUGCUCCCUUAGUGAAUGCUCAGCCUUUAGCUCAGUGGGAUAACAUAGUCUUUUGGCCUGCUGGAGACCCAGGUUCAAACCCCGGCCAUUCAAUAUUAGUGUCACAUGUUCAAAACAUUUCCACUAAAAAUGGCCUGCCCUUCAGCGCCCCGAUGAAUGAUGUCUGUGAAGGGAAGUUGAUGAUGUGCCAUUCGAAAUAGAACAAUAUUUUGUCUGUGAGUUUUGUGAGAGUGUCCUUUACCCUCAGUGGAGUUGUGAAGUUCAGCCAUGGUUCAGCUCCUCUUCUCUACAAUGGAGAAUGAAUCCGCUCCAUUCAUAUAAAGCAAAAUGAAAGCCACUGACUGUGCGGGACGUUUCACAAAGCUAGAGGCAGAGCCAGGGUAUUGAAGUGGGACACCUACAGUUACACUUCCACGUGUUAUUAUAACCCUGUUAGUAUAAUAUAAUACACAGCUUCCUGGACACAGACCAAGCCUACUACUGAACUAAAAAGCAUUCUCAAUGGAGAAUCUCUAUUGAAAGAUUUUUUGGGGUUCAGGACUGUGCUUAAUGUGUCCAGGAAACGGAACCAAUGUAACCAAAUACAAAUACAUAUUAUAACCUAUUAAUAUAAUAGUACAACCCUAUUCGUUAAUAUGGUCUCACCCAUCCAGGUUGGAAUAGGAGGAUUAGCAUUGAACUGACAGUGCAUUGCUAUGGAGGGAUACACUGUGACUGUGCCCAGACAAUGUAGAAACAGUGAUGCAGUCUAUUUACUUCAAUUGCCAUGUGGUUGUGUGUGUCCUAACAUUAGAUUGGCUAAAGAGGGCAUCUCUGGACACUGGCUGAAUGUGACAAUGUGAUUUCUCUUCUCAGUCAAAGCCCUGUGGUCAGUUACAUUGAUAACAUAUACACUGAGUGUGUAUAUGAAGAACACCUUCCUAAUAUUGAGUUGAGUUACACCCCCAACCCCCCUUUUGCCCUUCGAACAGCCUCAAUUUGUCAGACAUGGACUCUACAAGGUGUCUUAAGCGUUCCACAGGGAUGCUGGCCCAUGUUGACUCCAAUGCUUCCCACAGUUGUCAAGUUUGCUGGAUGUCCUUGCUGGAUGUCCUUUAAGUGGUGGACCAUUCUUGAUACACACGGGAAACUGUUGAGUGUGAAAAACCCAGCAGCGUUGCAGUUCUUGACACAAACUGGUGCACCUGGCACCUACUACCAUACUCCAUUCAAAGACACUUAAAUAUUUUGUCUCGCCCAUUCACCCUCUGAAUGGCACAUAUACACAAUCCAUGUCUCAAUUGUCUCAAGGCUUAAAAAUCCUUAUUUAACCUGUUUCCUCCCCUUCAUUUACACUGAUUGAAGUGGAUUUAACAGGUGACAUCAUCAAGGGAUCAUAACUUUCACCUGGAUUCACCUGCUCAGUCUAUGUCAUUUAAAGGUGAUCUUAAUGUUUUGUAUACUCAGUGUACAUUGAUACAGACUGUUAAGAUACAUUGACACAAAUAAUUCAACUACACGCAACAAUGUUUCACCCCCACUCCUGUGUAAAAUGGGCCACGGUUUACAUGACAAAGAGACAUGGAUCCGCGUAAUGGGAAUUGUUUCAGCAACACAUCAGUCACUUAUUCAAGUGAUUUCGUUUUGAUUUAAAUAACCUAUUCUCAGUGACUGGGAGUACUGGAUUUCUGUGGCAUUUAUGUGAUCCCCAUCCUUCUAUAAAGUAGCCACAAGCUGAUGUGAGAUAAUGUUUGUGUGUGUGUGUGUGUGUGUGUGUGUGUGUGUGUGUGUGUGUGUGUGUGUGUGUGUGUGUGUGUGUGUGUAAUUCGCGACUGUGCGUCAAUCUCACUCCUCCUGAGGCCUGUGACUCACCUUUGUGGUUGUGACUCCCCCGUCUCCCCCAUUCUGAGGUAAACCACAGUGCUGCCCACAGCCUAUGUUACAGAGAAAACUCCCAGCGUUAACUACAACCUUUCACCUCUUGUCUCACCCCCUCCACAACCCCAACACUAAACCACCAGAUGUAAAACCUCCCUACUUGAGUCACUUGAUAGUCUCCUAAUAGUAACUCUCUAAUAUGGCCUUGAUUUGUCAGUGUUACCUUUAUAAACCUUUAUAAUAUAGACAAACUCUUGAUUUGAGUCUUGGCUGUAACACACUUGCUUUUCGGCUUCACAGUGAAAUCAACAACAUAGAAAAAACAGAGAUCCUAAUGGCUCUAAUAUGUAAUUAUAUGUAAUCCUAUGAUUGAAAACAUCAACAACAUUUAAUGUUAAUUGUAUUACAUGUGCCAACAUGUGAGGCUUGAGUAACUUAGUUGUGUGGAACAAAUAUAUCUGACCCUGGUCUGAUCUGCCUGGCUAAACUAUAAUCAAGGGUAGUUAAUAAUGUAGCAAGACAGCAACAACACAGCAGGUUUAAUCCUAGCUGUCCACUCAAGUAGCUGUUGUUAACACACUCCUCUUUUGAGUCUUACAGAUGGUGUGAACCUGAGAUGGGUCAAGGAGGAACAGGAGUCAAAAUAUGAGGUUGACACAUUGCAUGCUUCUACACCUGCAUUGCUUGCUGUUUGGGGUUUUAGGCUGGGUUUCUGUACAGCACUUUGUGACAUCAGCUGAUGUCAGAAGGGCUUUAUAAAUAAAUGGGAUUGAUUGAUUGCAUGCAAUUCACCUUUUCAUGUCUGAGCUCUCACACGAGGAUCACUUUUAAGGACCACUGGGACUGUUCGUCAGAGACAAACCAACUGUCCUUUGGUGUGAGGUAGUAGGUUGUAUAGUUUUAGGGUCACACCCAAGCUGUUGGAUGACUAUACAACAUACUGUCUUUCCUGAAGUGGCUGUAAUAUCAUCACAGAGCAGACUCUCCACAUGAAGAACCCUCGUCAAAAGCUGCAAUGAAAAUGUACCUUUCGUACCUACGUUAUUACCAUUAUUACAAUAUUAUUACAUCAUUGUAUUAUUAGUCAUUUUAUAUUUGAACAGGAAAUGAGAUUUCACAUUUUCUGGUUGGACUCCAUCUCUAACCAACUAGUCAAUCGGAUUGUGACCGGUCGAUGGUUCAAGGUGUUCGCACAGGGUGAGGUAGUAGGUUGUGUGGUUUCAGGGUUGUUAUUUUGCCCCAUCAGGAGUUAACUGUACAACCUACUGCCUUCCCUGAAGGGCAGCAACACAACGCGACGAGCAUGGCCACAAUGGAGCUCACUGUCUACUGUGCUGUUUUUGAAGUGGAGCGAAAAGUAAAGAAGGUAAGCUAUCUCAAAUCAUUGCCUUGGUACUUUUUAUUUAUCUUAACUAGGCAAGUCAGCUAAGAAACAAAUUCUUAUUUUCAACGACAGCCUAGGAACAGUACAUUAACUGCCUUGGUCGGGGGCAGAACAACAGAUUUUCACCUUGUCAGCUCAGGGAUUCGAUCUCACAACCUUUUGGUUACUAGUCCAAUGCUCUAACCACCUAGGCUACCUGCCACACAACAUGUGCUAAACAGAGUAUUUUAUGUAUUGGAAUUUGCAAAUAGGCCUAUUGUUUAUAUACCUUAAAUUUUGUAAUAAUGCGUACUGUACUAAAAGUCAUAAUAAAAAGUGAGUAGUCUUAGUCACAUGUGUGUCGACUCCUUUUUGAUGUCAAGAAUUAGAAGUAUAUAGUUAUGCAUCUUCCUAGAAAUACUGUAUGCGGCCAUUUCUUAUCCUGGACAUGAAGCCUGAAACAUCUGCUGGGAGAAUGGAUCAAUCGAUACAUAAAGAAGAAUACAUGUCAGGAUACAAAUAAAUGUAAAACAAGAUCAACAUUUUGUAACGUUGUGUUUGAAAUCUACAACGUUUGUGUCCCCACUCUCUUCCCAGCCAGAUUCCAUGUCAUUUAUAGCUUGUAUGGGAAAUAAAAUAUGCACACAGCCAGCCCGGACAGCCAUUAGCCAGUGUAUAGGGCAGACGGGCCCUCAGUCACAGAUGCCCAUGUCACUGCUCCAGAAUUUAUGACUGUCGGCUGGCAUAGGCACACACAGUCCCAGACCGACAGAAGGAAACACGGCGGCAGGGGUAAAGGAGGGUUUGAAGACUGCAUUUUCUAUACAAGGAAACGACAUCUCAAACAGCAUUUUGAGCGAUUUGUUCAUUGACAAUUGCAUAGUUGAAAGGCUAUUAAUUAGGUAACAACACCAGGUGGCGCCAUAGAUCAUUGUGUUUUCUGCAGCCAGGCAAGUUUUCUUUCCGUAAUGAUUUUACAGACCGAAUGAAAAUAUAUUUGUAGAGAUAUAUAGAAGUAGAUUCAGCCUUUGCAGCCCAAAAGAGCCACCAUAAAGAUAUAGUCAGGAAGCAAACUGUGGGUGCUUUUUUGGAAUGACCAGACUACACCAACAAGCAAUGGUUGAGAGAAAGUUAAAACGUGGACAGUCACUUUAGCCUACUGUCUACUCCUGUUCACUUAUAGUAGGGUAGACUUGCCAUCGUACAAAUGAUAUAUUUAGUUUAUGUCCACAUCUCAGUGGUUUUCUGUAUUUUUUUCUUUAAAACUUAUUUUAAGAUUGACUGCCAGAGAUGACAGUGAAUGAUUUACAGUCUAAAAACAUGUUGGCCUAUUCAUGGAACAUUUGUAAAUGUCAUACAGACACUUCACAUUCAUACAUACACUGACUCCUCUUUCAUUUGCUAUCAUGUGUUGUAUGUGGCUUGAUGGCUACUUGGCCUUCAUCUGUCAUUGUGCUUUUAAAUUGAACAAGACAAAUUCCCUAUUGUAAUUAUUUUCUAUUCAAUUGCAUUUUGAACAGUGUUUUGCAAUGCAUUUAGUAGUUGGCGAAGGAUUCUUUCUGUCAUCUGGGGUUGAUGAAACUGUAGGAUAAAUGAAAAGCUUUGGCAUGGCUCUGUGGAGCUGGCCAGUGGGCAUUCUCAAAUCUCAAUAAUUUUGGUUUAACAACAGGCUUUUAAUCAAAUGGAAAUCUCAACUGUGUGGACCUCUGAUUUCACUGAGACCUCUGAUUUCCUAUUCGCUGAAACCACAGGUUUCGUCAGGAGGUGUGUGCUUCUCCGGAGCUGUAUUACUACAUCAUUUCCGAAAGGGAGUGUGACGGUUUUGAUAGAGGGUACAGUAGUUUUGACAGAGUCAGUGGUGAACAGCGCGGGCUUGUUUGUAUCAAAGGGACUAUAUGCACCUGCCCCCUCCGAUUUCACCUCUGACAGUCGUAUUCAGCACGCUUUGCAACCAUAUGGUGACUUUGGAUUGGACAGUCAUUGUUGAGUCUGGACGACGACCAGGCGACGGGUCCGGAACGGCGACCCCAAAUCCGGACACCCACGGCCCAUCCUUGUGGCAGCAUACCCCGUUGUCAGAGAGCCUACAAAGGUAAACCACCAGAGGGGGGGACCGCAACGGCGAUCACCAACCAGGACAUCCCCUGGCCCUUCCUGGGGUACUUUGCAGCUUCCAGGGAACCUACCAAGGUAAACCACUAGAGGGGACCGCAAUGGCGAUCACCAACCGACAUCAACUGCCCAUUCUUGUGGUGGACUGCUACGCUCUCAGAGAAGCCUACCAAGUUCAACCACCAGAGGGGACUGCAACGAUGAUCUAUAAACAGGACACCAUGUGGUCAUGACUUUAUGUUGAUUUGUAACUUGCACGACAAACAAGAUCCAAACCACCAGGGGGGGUAUGUCAUGAUGUUGCCCUCUUUGGGUACAGCAAGCCCCAUCCUCCUCUCCCUGUCUCCUACACACAGGCUGCUGUGGUCAGAGAGAGGUCGUAAAUUACUGGAGGAGAUUAUCUCCUCAUGGCCACAGUAUAGAGAGAGUGAGUUUCAUAGAGAGAAUAAAGGAAUUUCUUCCACCUCACAGAACUGGAGAACCGAACGACAUUUAUGUUCUGGAGAAGGUAUAAAAGAUCGGUGAAGAAUCCAGCUACGAACUGGUCCGUUUGGUACAAUUUGGUGAAACUCAUGGGAGACAAUACGACCACGUUACCAUAACGCUGUUUACAUAAUAGCCUCAGAUAUGAGGUUUACAUCUAAUUGUUGUAUAAAAUGAAUGAGUGAGGAUGAUACUGUUUGUAAAAUUGUGUAAUGUGACUUUGGACUGUUUAAUGAAGGAAACUCCAAUUCCCUUUUGAGUUUAAAUAAAUCAGAGGACCGCCCAUGAGCUCAGUUAGGGUCGGGCAUCCUGGGACAGGCCCUUUUCUGCAACUCCCGAAUAAAACCCCCACUUUGAGAAUUUCUCAGCAGACCAUGUUUCCCUCAAUCAUCGAGAGGACAAAGGUUGCAGACCAGCUUACCUCGAUAAUGAGACGGCCAAGGUUUGAGUAGAUGGCUGAAUCUUUUAACCAUACCACUUGGUUAAACUCUUAGACUAUCGAUACCGACAGAAUAAGAACAAGUCUUUGAUAUUAAUUACUAGUCUGCAGCUAGGAAUUCGGUAUCAUUGAACGCGAAGACCGACAACCGCCGAAACAUCUAUCCAUAACAACAUGAAUGAAUGUCAUUCUGAACUAUCCAUUCUAACUACGACAGAGAGGGCGGACAAACUCUCCAACAGAAACAAACUUUUCAACAGAGACCCCGACGACAUACUGAGGGUAAAUAUAUGUAUUGAUUGCAAUUGUUCCCGAAUGAGUAAGCGUUCAUGUGCAAAGGAUUAGCAUUUCAAUUGUUAUAAUUAUCAACUGUGUGUUGUCUUAUCUCAGUCGACCCCAAACUUCCCUUUUGUACAACAAGCCGCCAUGCCGGUUUAGCCCACUAGGGCACAGUCCCCUAUCAUUUCUUGUAACCAUAUUUACUUUGUUUGUUUGUGUGUGCACUUCUGUGAUUGUUUAGUUAGUUAGUAAAUAAAUGAUUUAAGACAAUUGAUGUAUGGAUGACUCAUAGUGAAGACUGGGUUCGUGCAGAUAACCAACAAUUUAAGACGUUUGGAAUGAGACGAACAUGAGGUAAAGAAGAAUUCAUUAAUCAGAAGACUAUUGAUCAGAUAUGAAAAUAUCUGAAAAGUUAUAUUAGGAAAAUUAUAACUUGGUAAUCUGAAUAUUUUCCUUGGUGCCCCGACUUCCUAGUUAAUUACAGUUACAUGAUUAAUCAGUUUAAUCGCGUAAUAAUAAUUACAGAGAUUCUCUUAAUAAAAACUAAGUCUUCAGUUAAUGAUAGUAAAGACACGACAGUAUGCUCUUUGACAUUUGUCGUAGAGAUAAUGUUAUUAAGAAAAGGUUAAAGUUAUUGAUUAUAUGAUGAAUUAUUACAUGUCUGGAUUUCCUGAAACAUAAAUGAAUUGAGCUAAACUGUUGUUGUGAUCUGUGCUUUUUUAAGGUUAUCAUGGAAGGUGACGUCAGAUCGUGUCUUAAUGCAUGUUAGGAAUGAUUUGACCACAAACAGUAUGUGUGAAUCUCAAAACCCUCCCUAAGGAAAGAACGACAAGGAGUGUGUCACGCCCUGACCGUAGAGAGCUGUUUAUGCCUCUAUUUUGGUUUGGUCAGGGUGUGAUUUGGGUGGGCAUUCUAUGUUAAUUUUCUAUGUUUUGUAUUUCUUUGUGUUUGGCCGGGUGUGGUUCUCAAUCAGAGGCAGCUGUCUAUCGUUGUCUCUGAUUGAGAACCAUACUUAGGUAACUUUUUCCCACAUGGUUUUUGUGGGUAGUUAUUUUCUGUUUAGUGUUUUGCACCUUACAGGACUGUUUCGGUUUCAUUUAUUCUCUUGCUAUUUUGUUAUAGUGUUCUGUUCUAAUAAAAAAACAUGAACACUUA